UACGGGGGGGGGCAAGCGUUGUUCGGAAUUACUGGGCGUAAAGGGCUCGUAGGCGGCCAACUAAGUCAGACGUGAAAUCCCCUCGGCUUAACCGGGGAACUGCAUCUGAUACUGGAUGGCUUGAGAUUGGGAGAGGGAUGCGGAAUUCCAGGUGUAGCGGUGAAAUGCGUAGAUAUCUGGAGGAACACCGGUGGCGAAGGCGGCAUCCUGGACCAACACUGACGCUGAGGAGCGAAAGCCAGGGGAGCAAACGGG
rnacentral:rRNA from 1 species